rnacentral:rRNA from 2 species
CUCAAAACCAGGUUUCGCUCGAGAGCCGUGGAAGACGACCACGUCGAUAGGCCAGGUGUGUAAGCGCAGCAAUGCGUUGAGCUUACUGGUCCUAAUCGCUCGAUUGAAACACUUGA